GUAGCGAAACCACAGCGGCGCUCAGUUUUUCUCUCUGUUUCGAGCUAAUCACAUUCUUAUCUCCUUACGGCCGAUACUGAUGGCUUCAGUUCCUCUCAACAUGUUUCUUGUUUAUAGUUGUUUUUGUUCAUUCCGUAGAUGAAUAGGGUGGUGGUUGUGGUUGUUGUUGCAGUGAUUAUAAAAAUUCCUCGUUCUGAAUGCUAUAGCCAUGGCAUGACAGACACCUUACACCCAUAGAAUAUGAGCAACA
rnacentral:lncRNA from 1 species